rnacentral:tRNA from 1 species
CGCGGAGUGGAGCAGCUGGUAGCUCGCCAGGCUCAUAACCUGGAGGUCGCGCGUUCAAAUCGAGCCUCCGCAA